rnacentral:rRNA from 1 species
AGGAGACGUUGAAUACAAAACACCACCAUCGGCGCGGUCGUCCUUGGCGUCUGUCCCUUUCAACGGGGGCAGGCGCGAGGGCGGUUUAGCCCGGUGGCACCGGUGAAU